AGUGAACGCUGGCGGUAGGCCUAACACAUGCAAGUCGAACGGCAGCACAGUAAGAGCUUGCUCUUACGGGUGGCGAGUGGCGGACGGGUGAGGAAUACAUCGGAAUCUACUUUUUCGUGGGGGAUAACGUAGGGAAUCUUACGCUAAUACCGCAUACGACCUACGGGUGAAAGUAGGGGAUCUUCGGACCUUGCGCGAUUGAAUGAGCCGAUGUCGGAUUAGCUAGUUGGCGGGGUAAAGGCCCACCAAGGCGACGAUCCGUAGCUGGUCUGAGAGGAUGAUCAGCCACACUGGAACUGAGACACGGUCCAGACUCCUACGGGAGGCAGCAGUGGGGAAUAUUGGACAAUGGGCGCAAGCCUGAUCCAGCCAUACCGCGUGGGUGAAGAAGGCCUUCGGGUUGUAAAGCCCUUUUGUUGGGAAAGAAAAGCAGCAGGUUAAUACCCCGCUGUUCUGACGGUACCCAAAGAAUAAGCACCGGCUAACUUCGUG
rnacentral:rRNA from 1 species